rnacentral:rRNA from 1 species
CCCUUAGAUGUUCUGGGCCGCACGCGCGCUACACUGACGAUGUCAGAGAGUGUCUCCUUCACCGAGAGGUGUGGGUAAUCUUUUAAACAUCGUCGUGCUGGGGAUAGAUCAUUGCAAUUUUUGAUCUUAAACGAGGAAUGCCUAGUAAGCGUGAGUCAUCAGCUCACGUUGAUUACGUCCCUGCCCUUUGUACACACCGCCCGUCGCUACUACCGAUUGAAUGGUUUAGUGAGAUCUCUGGAUUGACGCUGGCUAGGGGGCGACCCUUGGCCAGACUGCUCGAGAAACUGCUCAAACUUGAUCAUUUAGAGGAAGUAAAAGUCGUAACA